CCUACGGGAGGCAGCAGUGGGGGAUAUUGCACAAUGGGGGGAACCCUGAUGCAGCGACGCCGCGUGGGUGAAGGAGCGUUUCGGCGCGUAAAGCCCUAUCGGCAGGGAAGAAGGAGGACGGUACCUGACUAAGAAGCCCCGGCUAACUACGUGCCAGCAGCCGCGGUAAUACGUAGGGGGCAAGCGUUAUCCGGAUUUACUGGGUGUAAAGGGGGCGCAGACGGCAGCGCAAGCCAGGAGUGAAAGCCCGGGGCCCAACCCCGGGACUGCUCUUGAAACUGUGUUUCUUGAGUGCUGGAGAGGCAAUCGGAAUUCCGUGUGUAGCGGUGAAAUGCGUAGAUAUACGGAGGAACACCAGUGGCGAAGGCGGAUUGCUGGACAGUAACUGACGCUGAGGCGCGAAAGCGUGGGGAGCAAACAGGAUUAGAUACCCUUGUAGUC
rnacentral:rRNA from 1 species